AAGACCUUACUCUUAGGGAUCAUUUCUAUAGUAAGUGUCGCCAGGACGUCAGGUAAAACUGACGGGACCUAAAGCCACGAGGACGAGAAAUAGCACUCCUUUCUGAGCGCGAAGCGGGCACGGGCUGUCACCCUCUGGGAGACUUGGUCCGUGUCAUUGAUGAACGUUCCUCUCCUCCCUAAGCGGGGAGUUGGAGGAAGGGAGUGCAUUCUGAGUGGU
rnacentral:snoRNA from 1 species